GACGAACGCUGGCGGCGUGCUUAACACAUGCAAGUCGAACGGUAAGGCCCUUCGGGGUACACGAGUGGCGAACGGGUGAGUAACACGUGGGUGAUCUGCCCUGCACUUCGGGAUAAGCCUGGGAAACUGGGUCUAAUACCGGAUAGGACCACUGCCUGCAUGGGUGGUGGUGGAAAGCUUUUGCGGUGUGGGAUGGGCCCGCGGCCUAUCAGCUUGUUGGUGGGGUGAUGGCCUACCAAGGCGACGACGGGUAGCCGGCCUGGGAGGGUGACCGGCCACACUGGGACUGGGAGACGGCCCAGACUCCUACGGGAGGCAGCAGUGGGGAAUAUUGCACAAUGGGCGCAAGCCUGAUGCAGCGACGCCGCGUGAGGGAUGACGGCCUUCGGGUUGUAAACCUCUUUCAGCACCGACGAAGCGCAAGUGACGGUAGGUGCAGAAGAAGGACCGGCCAACUACGUGCCAGCCGCCGCAGUAA
rnacentral:rRNA from 1 species